CACGUAGGGCGCAAGCGUUGUCCGGAUUCAUUGGGCGUAAAGAGCUCGUAGGCGGUUUGGUAAGUCGGGUGUGAAAACUCAGGGCUCAACCCUGAGAUGCCACCCGAUACUGCUAUGACUAGAGUCCGGUAGAGGAGCAUGGAAUUCCUGGUGUAGCGGUGAAAUGCGCAGAUAUCUGGAGGAACACCGGUGGCGAAGGCGGCAUCCUGGACCGGUAUUGACGCUGAGGCGCGAAAGCCAGGGGAGCAAACGGG
rnacentral:rRNA from 1 species